rnacentral:rRNA from 1 species
ACGCUGGCGGCAGGCCUAACACAUGCAAGUCGAGCGUGAAAGUUCCUUCGGGAGCGAGUAGAGCGGCGGACGGGUGAGUAACGCGUAGGAAUCUGCCCAGUAGUGGGGGACAACAUGGGGAAACUCAUGCUAAUACCGCAUACGCCCUAAGGGGGAAAGCAGGGGAUCUUCGGACCUUGCGCUAUUGGAUGAGCCUGCGUCGGAUUAGCUAGUUGGUGGGGUAAUGGCCUACCAAGGCGACGAUCCGUAGCUGGUCUGAGAGGAUGAUCAGCCACACUGGGACUGAGACACGGCCCAGACUCCUACGGGAGGCAGCAGUGGGGAAUAUUGGACAAUGGGGGAAACCCUGAUCCAGCCAUGCCGCGUGUGUGAAGAAGGCCUUCGGGUUGUAAAGCACUUUCAAUAGGGAGGAAAAGUUAAUGGCUAAUACCCAUUAACCCUGACGUUACCUAUAGAAGAAGCACCGGCAAACUCCGUGCCAGCAGCCGCGGUAAUACGGAGGGUGCGAGCGUUAAUCGGAAUUACUGGGCGUAAAGCGCGCGUAGGCGGUUUGAUUAGCUGGAUGUGAAAGCCCCGGGCUUAACCUGGGAAUUGCAUCCAGAACUGUCAGGCUAGAGUACAGUAGAGGUGAGUGGAAUUUCCUGUGUAGCGGUGAAAUGCGUAGAUAUAGGAAGGAACAUCAGUGGCGAAGGCGGCUCACUGGACUGAUACUGAC